GAACUUUCUUUUUGCUUAAAAAGCCUGUUAUUUCUUUCAUUCCAUAUAACCCGCAUCGUGAGUAACCAAAUAAGUUGAAGAAAAGAUCUCCUUGAUUUCAAACCACCUCUGUAAAAUGCAAAAUGAGCACCAUGAAUUGAUAUAUCACAAUGAUCGACACCAUCAAAGCCUAUCCAAGACCUCACCAAAAACCAUAAAGAACCAAAGAAACUGCAAGACAAAAAUAAAUGUCGUGCAUCUUCCACGAAACCACAUCCUGUCACACAAAAGCAUGCCUCUGAAUUCAAGAUACCAUGAUAUGCUAAAUUAGACAUUGUAUGAAGUCUAUCUCGAAUCAACCUCCAAGCAAAAAUAGACACCUUGAGGGGAACAUGUUUGUGCCAAACCAAUUCUUCGCAAAGAC
rnacentral:lncRNA from 1 species